GGCGUAGGUGGCCUUUCAAGUCGGAUGUGAAAUCUCCCGGCUUAACUGGGAGGGGUCAUCCGAUACUGCUGGGCUAGAAGGCAGCAAGGGGAGGUGGAAUUCCCGGUGUAGUGGUGAAAUGCGUAGAUAUCGGGAGGAACACCAGUGGCGAAGGCGGCCUCCUGGGCUGUUUCUGACGCUGAGGCCCGAAAGUGUGGGUAGCGAACAGGAUUAGAUACCCUGGUAGUCC
rnacentral:rRNA from 1 species